GGGCUCCGUGAGGGCUCCGUGAGGGAGGGGCGUGGGCGGACCUCCGCCUCUAAUUCCAUUUAAAAUCCCUCUCGGGGGUGUGUUCAUCAUUCACUAUCCCAUUCCUGAUGUUGCAGACUAUGAUGAGCUAUGGGAAGAAAUACAUCCUAAGGACUGAGGCAGUGUGAGGACAGCCAGUCACUGUAGCUGCAAACAUGAUUUUAAUAACUCAGAAAGACACAAAGGAGCAGUCUGGGAAGUGUCUGCCCUUCAUCUGUGCACGCAGAGAUGCCUGACUGCAAAUGGAGGUGCUGAACCCGUCUCCAGUGCUCAGUACUUUUCAGCUUUUACAUUUUCAUUGUGACCCAAAAUCCGGGGGAUGAGAAAAGAGCUAGGUACUCAAAUAGCUGGAAGAGAGCAGAAGAGAGGCACUCUUGAGAUCUCCUUUGGGAAGCUUCCCUUGCUGACUGGAGUUGAAUCCCAGCAGCCUGGAACGUCACUGGUGCUCCAGAGAAACUGCAGCCCUGGAAGGUGCCCAGAGAGAAGAACCUUUCUGGGCAGUGCCUGCAGCUCAGAGGAUCCUGCCAGCCUGUCAACAGCACCCUUGUGCCAUGGUUUUACACUGGUAUUCCCUUUCUUUUCCAGGACAACUGGCCACCAGGAGUCACUGCAAGGUCUAACAUACCUUUGCCUGCUAAUCUGUAUUACUUACCCUUAAAAUCAAGGAACCGUGUUCCUAAUUUUUUAAUUUUAAAUCUCAAUUGGCAUCCCCAGAAGAGCUGAGAUGCUUUGAGUGCAUAUUGCACUGAUCUCUGUUACAACUUUUAAACUGUUUUUGAUCAGCAACACUCCUCUCAAUCUACUAGAAAUGCUUUAAUGAAAAAGACACUGUGUAAAUCAAACAAACAAAUAACCCACAAGCAAACCAAAGGUUUGUCCACUCUCAUUGUGAGCUCAAGCAGGCUUUGGUCAAACACCUGAAAUCUGGCAUAAAAAUUGUUCUGAUAACAAAUUGAGAUAUAUUUUGGCAUCGCUAAAUUUUUCCCAAAUCUGGCCAAGCUGUAUAGCUCUCAAAAGAUUUUAGUUCGCAAAUGUUUAGUAGAGGUUUUUAGGAUUUGGCAGCCAAAUUCUCUGAAGUUUUCAUUUCAUCAUUCUUUUUCUUUGCUUCUAGUACUGUCUCUUAAGUACUUACUCAGGAUAAAUAGUGGAAGAAGCACUUGAUGGGAAUUCCAAUGGAGAAAAUGGGAGGGAAGUAGGAAGUAGAGGUAUCAGGAAACAGCAACAUGAUGAGUGGAAGUUGUUAAUUCUCUUCUCGCAUAUCAGUUGUGAAGACAAACUUUUUAUCCAGUGUGAUGUACUUGGACGUUUUGUUAAAAGAACUCUAGGAAUGCCUGUGAGGAAAUUGAUAAUUCCAUAUUAAAUAUGGAGUUUAAGGCCAUGUACAGGAUAAAACCUGGGGCUGCACGUAGAAUGGAAGAACAGAAAGAAGUUGAAUAACUGCUUGGUUUUGAAAUCAGUGAGCAUCUGUACAGACAGCUCUCUCCUGGACAGCCCUAAUUCUUUCCUCACAAUGAAUGAAGUGGUGGGUUGGUGGAAAAGAAUUGUGCAUGAUCACGCAAUGGACACCUGACUCAAAAAAGGGCCAAAUGAAGUUUGUGGCAUUUCCUAACUCUUGGAUUCUUGGCAUUGCAUUGUCAUUGUCAUUUUUAUUUUAAGGCAGUGUUUGGAUAAAACAUAAGUAAAAGCAAUGCCUUCUAAGCCUGUAUUCCAUACUUAGCUCCAGAGAAGCAUUCCUAAUCACUGAAUUAGUCUAGAGGGGCUUGUUUGUCAGGCUUUCAGUCAGUGACAAAUUGUUCACAGCAGCAUUUUAGAAAACAAACCUCAUGCCAAGUUUACAAAUGAUCCUCCAAGAGCUUGGGACAGUCACUUCCACACUUAGAAGACAUUUCCAUGCAGAACUCAGGAGGUGAGAUAAACAGUAAUGUAGCUGGGAUGUCCGUGUGGAUUUGAGUGGCUUUCUUCUGGAAACUGCAUUUGGAUUUAAUGCUUGAAAUCUUAUGGAAGACCACAUCCCAUUUCCCUUGCAGUAAAAGGGCCCAGUCCCUUUGUCAGUGUAGAGGGAGCGCUAAUGAGGGUCCUGGCUCAGGGCUGCCAUCUGUAAAAGAGUUAAGCAUAUUCUGAUUGUUGUUAUAUCAUUAAGGGCAUACUUAACCCCACCGACUUAAUGAGGAACAUACAGCCUUAAAGGUAAUCACAUACAUAAGUGCUCUGCUGAAAAGGGAUUGAUUUAAACCGGAUACAACUCUGUAACUCAUCCUGUUCACCAAGCACCCCUUCAAAUUCCUUGCUUAACUACAGGGUGGGUGUACACCUUGUAAACAUGGCUUUGAGCAGCAGCAAUGUGGAACUCAACUGCUUCUCCCAGAGCUCUACUAGCAAAAUAUGGCUGAAAAACACCUGCAGAGGUUCUUGAUCACCAGAGUGCUCAGCUGUGAUCCAUAGGCUGCAGUAGUGCUCACCCAGAGGGUUAAAGCAGUUUGCAACCUGCUCCUUCUUUUCGGGUAGCAACUCAGGAGCACAGGGAGCAUGCAGUGUUGUUUGGAUAGUGAAAACCCAAGAUCAUGACUCCUGCUUUCCUUGUGGGGCUCCUGGACUUGCAUUCCAUGAGGUGCAUGCUGCCAGAUGUGAUCUGCAGGAAAGAAUAUCAGCAAGGUGGAGGUACCAUCUCUGGUGCAGUUCCUCUGGCUUGCAGUCUGCAUCUUCCCAAAUCUCCCUCCAAAAGCAAGGCAACAACUGGGGACAACCUCAUCAAACAGAUCCAGCACACAUUUGUGACAUUUUUUUCCCCCCCAAGGAGAUGCUGUGACUCUUAGAGGCUUUUCUGCAUGCAUGGAAAACUGAGAUACUCCAGGAAGUGCCAUUCCUGCUAUUUGUACACUCCACAUCUUAUAGGAGAAGGUCAGGAAAAAUUAUCCAUCCAGCCAGAAUGUCUGAAUAGUAUUCACCUAGUUUGCUUCCUUGCUAUUAUGAGACUGGCUUUACCUACUUUUUCCUGUCAGUUCUGUGUUUAUAUAAGUUUUUUGUAUAAUUUUAAAAUAAUGAUUGCCCUUUUUAAAAUAGUGUCUCAGAACAAAGGUAUGAAAUUUUCCUCCUGUCUGUUAAUCCAAGGGCAGUAAGCACAGUGUUACUGGUUGUGUUGUAUCAUAAGGCAGAGACACAUUUGGCCAGUAGACUGUGAAUCCUCACGGGAUGUGGCACAAGGGUUUUCCAAACCUCAGAAUUUUAUGUUGAAAAUAAUUGUCUGGAAGGUAAUAGUCCCCCAGAAUGGACUAACAGCCUGUCAGGUUUCACAUUUCCUCGAGUCACUUUUGAAUUCAUAAAGCAUUCUGAAAUACUCUGAUCCAAAUUUGGUGCUGAAAUAUGUCAACUUCAUGUGGGAUGAAGCUUUUCAUUCCAGGUUUUAUCUGAGGAGGAUUCCUGUUUACCUUCUCCUUUUGAUUGCUGGAGAUAACCAGGUGAGUCAGUUUGUGUUUACUGUCAGUAGAAACUCUGUGAAAGCCCUAAUGAGGCUGUUGGUGCUGUAAGUGUCCAGCUGCUAAAAUACAGAUGUUGUCCAACUAAACUGGAUUGAUCCAGAUCCAGAAUGGUAUUUCCCUGGCAAGGUUUAGCAUUCUUAAUGCAAAGUGAACCCUCAUAGCAGGGCCUCUCAUACUGUAGGGUUUGUAUUUUAAUGAGGUAGAUAUUUAAUCAAUUUUAGGGUAUACUGGUAUCUGCCUUUUGCACAUGUUUCAAAUAACAAUGAAAUUUAUCCGCAGAUGAAGUAAUUGAGGCAUAGCCUGAUUUCAGAAGGGUGCACAGCCCUUACUGCAGUGUAAUUCUAAGAGAUUGGGGAUCAAUCAAAAUGUUUUAAAAUUAAGAGUUUUCUGCAGCUGGGACACUCCCAGGUUGAGCUACUUUGGUUUCAGUUUAUAGCUCAACUUUUUUUCCCCAAGUCAAAUGGUUUAUUGUACCCAGGAUUUUUUAACUGUCACAUCUGAAAAUGAAAAAUAUCUUUAAAAACCCCGAUAUCCUGUAGAGAUCUAAACCCAUAUUGAGCUGUGUGACCCAAACAUACCCUGAACUUUAAUGGCAAGAAGUUUAAAAUUGAAAUCCAGGUCCACAUUUCACAUGAGUUCCUAUCCUUGUAUGUCAGAAUUUGAACACCAUAUUCAGCUAAAAUACCUUGGAAUUUGCCUUUGCUUAACUGCUCUCACAUGAGUUACAGCUCUGGCAAUUGUUUAUUGCCUCUAAGCAUGAUUUUGGUGAGUAUUUAGAAAAUAACUCUUAUCUUUGUGGUAGUCCAUAUCACACCAUAUCUUAUCUGUAAAGGUUGAAAUAUUUGAAAUCCAGAUAUGGAUUGUUGGGCCAGAACCACGGCCAGAUUUUCACAGGGUUGCUUUAUAAAUCCUCUUACUUUUGCAAUGUGUUUUCAAACUUCCUCUGUAUUACUAAGUUUUCCUCUGAGGUCCGGUUUCUGAUACAAUUUCUUGUAGUAACACCACAUUUUUGGACUGGGAACUGUUCAUUCUGGGAACAAAACAGGACAGCUUUGGCCAUCAAGGUCUCAUCCAAGACCCAUGAAGUACAAUGGAGGUAUCUCAUUGCCUAGCAGGGCUUUAUAUGUGGUUGAAGAACAGGAUAAUCAAGUCAUCAAGAGGAAAACUUACGACAAAUUACUUUUAACUGUAGUUAAAUAGUUCAUUUAACUGUGUCUCACAAUGAUGUAGGUGGUUUCUGAACUUUAUAGUUGACAAUUUACUUGGAAUCUUUCUGCUAACAAAGAGUUUCAUCUGACAGAAUGCUGAGUCUUAAAUGCAUUGCUCAAAUAUUCCUAGAUGGGUUUCAUGAGAGAAUUCCAGGGGGGUUAUUAGAGGAUUGGGUCCUGUAGUAUGGAUCCUAUAACACACAUACAAAUGAAACUACAUUGAAAGAAUUACAUUGAACAGGAAAGCAUAACUUAGUUUUAAUGCUAUUUUCAAUUAUUUGGAACAAAACACUUGAAAUGUUUCAGCAGGUUUUUUUGCAAGUUUUUAUAUGGUUUUGUAUUAAAAUUUUCUUUCCCAUUUGAAAGAAUUUACCUGGCAUCCUUCUUAUUAAUUCAAACUGCUUUGAAACUGUGUUUCAGUAGGAAAAUCUUAAAAUGAGACUUGUGCCAUAUUUUUCAGAAUUCUAUCUCUUUCAGAGCAAAUUGCUGAGUGGAAUCAUUAGAUGUAAAAUGCACAUUUCAAAAUUCCUUCAAAAACUGUUUGUUUGAGGAUGAUGUGUGCAAUUCAGAGAUAAAUUAUGAAUUACAUCUUUAGAUCUUGAUUAGCAGUAAGCAUAAAGAUCAGGUUCUGUAAUGGGACAUAGCAGCUGGCAGCUAGCAUGACACUCAGUGCUUAUCACUACUUCUUUCUCUCCCUGGAGUUAUUAUUUAUUUAGUUUUUCUCCCUCACCUGCCUCUUACUCAGCCCACAAUGUCCCACACAGGUCACACCACGGAGCAGGUGGGAGCCAGGCUGCCCUGGGAGCUCAGAUUCCCUGCUCUCCCCGUGGUGGUCCUGCAUCCUCUCCUGCCUGCUCACAACAGGAUUACUUUUGUGAGCUCUUCUGUGCUGCUAAGGUAGUAAAGACAUGAAAUUGGGGUCACUCCUCUCUGGAUAUAUUCACUAAUGUAUCCAUCCAGUUGCUGAUGCAUUGGUGGCUGUACUUUAGAAGGAGUUUUCCAGGAGCAAACUUCUCUUACAGAGUCUUAUUUGCAGGGUAAAUUACGGUGUAGUUGAGUGGAGAAAAACUCCAAGCAAACCACAUUAAAUUAUUUAACAAAAGAAAUAUUUGGAAAAGUGGUCUUAGUUGUUUCCUUUGGUGAAGCGUUAAUGAAGUUACAUGGAGAAGGUGAAAAGACAUUGUCAAGCCUCUUCAACUUUAAAAAGGAAGAGGGGAAGUUUUAAAGAGAAGUGUUCCUCAUGUGAAAUAUCUGACAGCAGCUACUGAUCCUGUACAUGGGGAACACAAGGGUUGGAGAUGCAGUGUUUUAGAACAGAAGAUUCUCUGUGUUUUGUCUUUUCUAUCAAUCAAUGAAAAUAGAAGUUUGUGGUUAGAAUAUGGCUUUAAGUGCAUAGAUAAGAGCCCAAGUAAAUACGAGCACUCCUCCAUUCCUGAGGGAAGUUGGUGGCCUGCCCAUAUAAUUUGCUGAUAAAGUCCCAUCUGUUAAAACAAAGUCUUGCAGCACAAGUAAUAAAUUUCAGGCAAAGACCAUGAGAGGUUAUAUUUGUAUGACUGUCUUUGCUGAGCUUUAUUUUAAACCAGAAAAAGCAUGUGAAACUGAAAUAAAGAUUAUAGUAUUGGCUUUAAGUUAGCUUUACACUUUUGGAAGGCAAAUGAGAAAUCCUGCUCCGCUUUAUUUCCCUGGUAAACAGUGUGGCACGAUAAACUGUGAGGAGAAUAAAGUCAUAAGGAAAACUCUGCUUCACAAAUGACAUACGUAGAAAAACAGCAGAUGUCUGAUGAAGUAAAGACCCAACUUAUUGCCAAGUCUUUGGAAAACAAAAUUAAUUUCCUUUCGUCUUUGAUAAUGAUGAUGUAAUGUAGUUAAUAGGAAGAGCCUGCCAUGCUCAUGGAGUUAUUAAAGAAGAAAUGUUAGACAUGCAGCAGGUCAGAAAUAUGGGUUUACUUACCAGGGCCUUUUCCAUGAGAGCAUUUAUAAAUGUGGAGGAAAAAGAAAGAAGAUAGUGAUGUAGAAUAUUUCUUUAUGUCUUAUUUGAAGCAUAAGAUGCAUGUAAUGAAACAAAACUUGCAAACGUCCUCUUAAGAAGUUCAGAAUUCUAGUGAUCUGUGCAAAGAAGAAAUUUAUUUUUGUUACGCAGGUUUUUCUGUUGAGAUAUUACUGCAAGGAAAUAAAUUUUUCUAGAGUGGAAUUAAAAAAGAAAUUAUUUACCCUCUGAUUUUCCCUGAUAAGAGUUAAACCAAGUAAAGAUUGUGGGUGAGUGUACAUGGUAUUGGCUAAUUUAAUGUGUUGGAAAUAUCUCAUCAGCCACAGCAACAAAAUAGAUUUGGUUUUAACAAAACAGUGUAGGAAAUAGAUGUGGUUGUUUCUUUGCAAUAUCCUUUUUUAGUCGCUAGAUGUCCCUGCCUGCUGGGAGGAACCAGGGGUGAGGUACCUGGGGAGCGAAACAGGUGAAGCUCAAACCGAGGCUGGGCAGCGUCCUUGUGGGUGUGGAAUCACGGAUAAUUUAGGCUGGAAAAGCCCUCUAAAAUCGUCGAGUCCAGCUAUUAAUCCAGCAUGUCCAAGGUCCCCACUAACCCAUGUCCCCAGGUGUAGGGAGCUGUCCUGUUUAGGGAUGUUUUUGAUCUUUGUGUGCACUUAAAUGGUUGAAUACAUUCAAACUGGAAUGUAUUUUUACUGGAGAUACAGGAUGAAAAUUAGAUUUGUUCAUGAAAACUUUUGAGGAGCUACUUACUGGAAUGGUUGAGCCAAUCAAGCUUGGCUUGGCACAGCCUUGGUGACACAAUCUCCUCCCCAGUGAUUAAAAAAAUACAAACUUUUUUACUGUAAACAUAAAGGCACUAUUAAAAAUUGGAGUUUAAUUGCUAAGACAUGAUAAUAAGUACAAUGCACAUACAUAUAUAUACAGGCAUGUGUGUGUAUGUGUAUAUAUAUCUGAGAGCUAGAUACAUACACCCUGCCAUCAUUGGGACUGAUGUUUGUUUUAACAAUGUCCAUGACAACAACCUCAACAAUAAAGUUUUAUACCAUACAGCAGAUUUUACAUUGUGUGACAGGACUACGAGUAGCCCCCAAUUAACUGGAAAGCUAAUGUUGAAGAAGAUUUGCAUCUAUUCCUAAAAUUUCUCCCUUUCAGUACAAAAGGCACAC